rnacentral:rRNA from 1 species
GACGAACGCUGGCGGCGUGCCUAAUACAUGCAAGUAGAACGCUGAAGGAGGAGCUUGCUUCUCCGGAUGAGUUGCGAACGGGUGAGUAACGCGUAGGUAACCUGCCUGGUAGCGGGGGAUAACUAUUGGAAACGAUAGCUAAUACCGCAUAAGAGUAGAUGUCGCAUGACAUUUGCUUAAAAGGUGCAACUGCACCACUACCAGAUGGACCUGCGUUGUAUUAGCUAGUUGGUGAGGUAACGGCUCACCAAGGCAACGAUACAUAGCCGACCUGAGAGGGUGAUCGGCCAACCUGGGACUGAGACACGGCCCAGACUCCUACGGGAGGCAGCAGUAGGGAAUCUUCGGCAAUGGACGGAAGUCUGACCGAGCAACGCCGCGUGAGUGAAGAAGGUUUUCGGAUCGUAAAGCUCUGUUGUAAGAGAAGAACGAGUGUGAGAGUGGAAAGUUCACACUGUGACGGUAUCUUACCAGAAAGGGACGGCUAACUACGUG